AGUGAACGCUGGCGGCGUGCUUAACACAUGCAAGUCGAACGAGAACGGAAUAUAGCUUGCUAUAUUUGUCAGCUAAGUGGCGCACGGGUGAGUAAUGUAUAGAUAACCUGCCCUUAAGAAAGGAAUAACAGUUGGAAACGACUGCUAAUGCCCUAUAUGCCUUUAAUACAUAAGUAUGCAAGGGAAACGCUUUAGUGCUUAAGGAUGGGUCUGUAUGGUAUCAGCCUGUUGGUGAGGUAAUGGCUCACCAAGGCUAUGACGCCUAACUGGUUUGAGAGGAUGAUCAGUCACACUGGAACUGAUACACGGUCCAGACUCCUACGGGAGGCAGCAGUGGGGAAUAUUGCACAAUGGACGAAAGUCUGAUGCAGCAACGCCGCGUGGAGGAUGACACAUUUCGGUGCGUAAACUCCUUUUAUAUAGGAAGAUAAUGACGGUACUAUAUGAAUAAGCACCGGCUAACUCCGUGCCAGCAGCCGCAGUAA
rnacentral:rRNA from 1 species